GUAGGUGGCAAGCGUUGUCCGGAAUUAUUGGGCGUAAAGCGCGCGCAGGUGGUUCUUUAAGUCUGAUGUGAAAGCCCCCGGCUCAACCGGGGAGGGUCAUUGGAAACUGGGGAACUUGAGUGCAGGAGAGGAAAGUGGAAUUCCACGUGUAGCGGUGAAAUGCGUAGAUAUGUGGAGGAACACCAGUGGCGAAGGCGACUUUCUGGCCUGUAACUGACACUGAGGCGCGAAAGCGUGGGGAGCAAACAGGGAUUAAAUACCCUGGUAGUCCACGCCGUAAACGAUGAGUGCUAAGUGUUGGGGGGGUUUCCCGCCCCCUUAGUGCUGCAGCUAACGCAUUAAGCACUCCGCCUGGGGAGUACGGUCGCAAGACUG
rnacentral:rRNA from 1 species